rnacentral:rRNA from 1 species
UACGUAGGUGGCAAGCGUUGUCCGGAUUUACUGGGCGUAAAGAGCGCGCAGGCGGUCGUUCAAGUCGCGUGUGAAAGCCCCCGGCUCAACUGGGGAGGGUCACGCGAUACUGAUCGACUCGAAGGCAGGAGAGGGGAGUGGAAUUCCCGGUGUAGUGGUGAAAUGCGUAGAUAUCGGGAGGAACACCAGUGGCGAAGGCGACUUCCUGGCCUGUUCUUGACUGCUGAGGCUGCGGAAA